GAUGAACGCUGGCGGCGUGCUUAACACAUGCAAGUCGAACGAUGAAGCUCAGCUUGCUGGGUGGAUUAGUUGCGAACGGGUGAGUAACACGUGAGUAACCUGCCCUUAACUCUGGGAUAAGCCUGGGAAACUAGGUCUAAUACCGGAUAGGAGCUCCUACCGCAUGGAUGGUGCUGGAAAAAUUUAUCGGUUUUGGAUGGACUCGCGGCCUAUCCGCUUGUUGGUGAGGUAAUGGCUCACGAAGGCGACGACGGGUAGCCGGCCUGAGAGGGUGACCGGCCACACUGGGACUGAGACACGGCCCAGACUCCUACGGGAGGCAGCAGUGGGGAAUAUUGCACAAUGGGCGAAAGCCUGAUGCAGCGACGCCGCGUGAGGGAUGACGGCCUUCGGGUUGUAAACAUCUUUCAGUAGGGAAGAAGCGAAAGUGACGGUACCUGCAGAAGAAGCACCGGCUAACUACGUG
rnacentral:rRNA from 1 species